ensembl:ncRNA F55A8.6 ncRNA
AACACACGGAGGAGGAGGACGAAAGAGGAGACGAAGAAGAGGGACGGUGUUGGUGGUGGUGGUGUUAAAAACGAUGAUUGGAUGGAUGCCAGAUGUGUCUCCUUCUUCUUCUUUGUCCGUGUGUGUGUGUGAAUAGAAUCAAAGCGGAU